rnacentral:rRNA from 1 species
AGCAGCCGCGGUAAUUCCAGCUCCAAUAGCGUAUAUUAAAGUUGUUGCAGUUAAAAAGCUCGUAGUUGAAUUUCGAGACCGGCUUACUGGUCGUGCUAUUGUACGUACUGGUAUAAUCGGUUUCUCCUUUCUGACGAACUAUAAUGCCAUUAAUUUGGUGUUAUAGGGAAUCAGGACUGUUACUUUGAAAAAAUUAGAGUGUUUAAAGCAGGUUCACGCUUGAAUACAUUAGCAUGGAAUAACGGAAUAGGACGUUUGAUUCUAUUUUGUUGGUUUCUAGGAUCGACGUAAUGAUUAAUAGGGAUAGUUGGGGGCAUUAGUAUUCAAUUGUCAGAGGUGAAAUUCUUGGAUUUAUUGAAGACUAACUACUGCGAAAGCAUUUGCCAAGGAUGUUUUCAUUAAUCAAGAACGAAAGUUAGGGGAUCGAAGACGAUCAGAUACCGUCGUAGUCUUAACCAUAAACUAUGCCGACUAGGGAUCGGAUGAUGUUAAUUUUUUAAUGACUCAUUCGGCGCCUUACG